rnacentral:tRNA from 1 species
GGUGAGCUGGCUGAGUGGUUAAGGCAGCGGUUUUGAAAACCGUCGAGGGCUUUUGUCGGUCCUCCCAGAGUUCGAAUCUCUGGCUCACCGCCA